rnacentral:rRNA from 1 species
CCUACGGGAGGCAGCAGUGGGGAAUAUUGCACAAUGGGCGCAAGCCUGAUGCAGCCAUGCCGCGUGUGUGAAGAAGGCCUUCGGGUUGUAAAGCACUUUCAGCGGGGAGGAAGGCGUUAAGGUUAAUAACCUUGUCGAUUGACGUUACCCGCAGAAGAAGCACCGGCUAACUCCGUGCCACCAGCCGCGGUAAUACGGAGGGUGCAAGCGUUAAUCGGAAUUACUGGGCGUAAAGCGCACGCAGGCGGUCUGUCAAGUCGGAUGUGAAAUCCCCGGGCUCAACCUGGGAACUGCAUUCGAAACUGGCAGGCUAGAGUCUUGUAGAGGGGGGUAGAAUUCCAGGUGUAGCGGUGAAAUGCGUAGAGAUCUGGAGGAAUACCGGUGGCGAAGGCGGCCCCCUGGACAAAGACUGACGCUCAGGUGCGAAAGCGUGGGGAGCAAAUAGGAUUAGAUACCCGUGUAGUC